CCCAGACAGCCAGGAUGUUGGCUUAGAAGCAGCCAUCAUUUAAAGAAAGCGUAAUAGCUCACUGGUCGAGUCGGCCUGCGCGGAAGAUGUAACGGGGCUAAACCAUGCACCGAAGCUGCGGCAGCGAACGUAUCACUUAAAGCGAUUCAGCGGGUUACGAUUGACGGAGCGAAGCGACGUCAAAGCGUAUACAAAGUCGAGUCGGUUUAAGGAUACGUUCGUUGGGUAGGGGAGCGUUCUGUAAGCCUGUGAAGGUGUGUCGUGAGGCAUGCUGGAGGUAUCAGAAGUGCGAAUGCUGACAUAAGUAACGAUAAAGCGGGUGAAAAGCCCGCUCGCCGAAAGACCAA
rnacentral:rRNA from 1 species